rnacentral:rRNA from 1 species
UACGUAGGGGGCAAGCGUUGUCCGGAUUUAUUGGGCGUAAAGAGCGUGUAGGCGCCAGACAGGUCCGUUGUGAAAACUCGAGGCUCAACCUCGAGACGCCGAUGGAAACCGUCUGGCUAGAGUCCGGAAGAGGAGAGUGGAAUUCCGUGGAUGUAGCGGUGAAAUGCGCAGAUAUCAGGAAGAACACCCGUGGCUAAGGCGGCUCUCUAGUACGGUACUGACGCUGAGACGCGAAAGCGUGGGGAGCGAACAGG